AGAGUUUGAUCCUGGCUCAGAUUGAACGCUGGCGGCAGGCCUAACACAUGCAAGUCGAACGGUAACAGGAAACAGCUUGCUGUUUCGCUGACGAGUGGCGGACGGGUGAGUAAUGUCUGGGAAACUGCCUGAUGGAGGGGGAUAACUACUGGAAACGGUAGCUAAUACCGCAUAACGUCGCAAGACCAAAGAGGGGGACCUUCGGGCCUCUUGCCAUCGGAUGUGCCCAGAUGGGAUUAGCUAGUAGGUGGGGUAACGGCUCACCUAGGCGACGAUCCCUAGCUGGUCUGAGAGGAUGACCAGCCACACUGGAACUGAGACACGGUCCAGACUCCUACGGGAGGCAGCAGUGGGGAAUAUUGCACAAUGGGCGCAAGCCUGAUGCAGCCAUGCCGCGUGUACGAAGAAGGCCUUCGGGUUGUAAAGUACUUUCAGCGGGGAGGAAGGGAGUAAAGUUAAU
rnacentral:rRNA from 1 species